AUUGAACGCUGGCGGCAUGCCUUACACAUGCAAGUCGAACGGCAGCACGGGAGCAAUCCUGGUGGCGUGUGGCGAACGGGUGAGUAAAGUAUCGGAACGUGCCCAGUCGUGGGGGAUAACGUCGCGAGAGGUACGCUAAUACCGCACACGAUCUACGGGAGAAAGCGGGGGAUUGCAAGACCGCGCGCGAUGGGAGCGGCAUAUAUCAGAUUAGGUAGGUGGUGGGGUAAAGGCUCACCAAGCCGACGAUCUGUAGCUGGUCUGAGAGGACGACCAGCCACACUGGGACUGAGACACGGCCCAGACUCCUACGGGAGGCAGCAGUGGGGAAUUUUGGACAAUGGGCGAAAGCCUGAUCCAGCCAUGCCGCGUGCAGGAUGAAGGCCUUCGGGUUGUAAACUGCUUUUGUACGGAACGAAAAGGUUUGGCCUAAUAAGCUGAGCUCAUGACGGUACCGUAAGAAUAAGCACCGGCUAACUACGUGCCAGCAGCCGCGGUAA
rnacentral:rRNA from 1 species